rnacentral:rRNA from 1 species
AGAGUUUGAUCCUGGCUCAGGACGAACGCUGGCGGCAUGCCUUACACAUGCAAGUCGAACGGCAGCACGGGUGCUUGCACCUGGUGGCGAGUGGCGAACGGGUGAGUAAUAUAUCGGAACGUACCUUGUAGUGGGGGAUAGCUCGGCGAAAGCCGGAUUAAUACCGCAUACGCUCUGAGGAGGAAAGCGGGGGACCUUCG